CAGUCGCCGCGGGAAUACGUAGGGUGCAAGCGUUAAUCGGAAUUACUGGGCGUAAAGCGUGCGCAGGCGGUCCGCUAAGACAGAUGUGAAAUCCCCGGGCUUAACCUGGGAACUGCAUUUGUGACUGGCAGGCUAGAGUAUGGCAGAGGGGGGUAGAAUUCCACGUGUAGCAGUGAAAUGCGUAGAGAUGUGGAGGAAUACCGAUGGCGAAGGCAGCCCCCUGGGCCAAUACUGACGCUCAUGCACGAAAGCGUGGGGAGCAAACAGGAUUAGAUACCCCUGUAGUCCCUGUCUCUUAUAC
rnacentral:rRNA from 1 species